rnacentral:rRNA from 1 species
AAUUAACAGGUGUGACGCAGGAAGGUAGUUGAUCCCGGGCGAUGGUUGUCCCGGGCUAAGCAUGUAGCCCGAACCGUAGGCAAAUCCGCGGUUCAUUUAAGGGUGAGAUGUGAUGGGGACCCGUAAGGGGAAGUCAGUGAUCCUAUGCUGCCAAGAAAAGCAUCGACGCGAGGUUUUAGCCGCCCGUACCCCAAACCGACACAGGUGGUCAGGUAGAGAAUACUAAGGAGAUCGAGAGAAUCAUGGUGAAGGAACUCGGCAAAAUGCCCCCGUAACUUCGGGAGAAGGGGGGCCAUCCACUUAUACGGAUUUACUCCGGAAAGGGUGUGGUGGCCGCAGAGACCAGUGGGAAGCGACUGUUUACUAAAAACACAGGUCCGUGCGAACAAGCAAUUGGAUGUAUACGGACUGACGCCUCCCCGGUGCUGGAAGGUUAAGAGGAGAGGUCAACCCUUCGGGGUGAAGCUUUGAAUUUAAGCCCCAGUAAACGGCGGUGGUAACUAUAACCAUCCUAAGGUAGCGAAAUUCCUUGUCGGGUAAGUUCCGACCUGCACGAAUGGCGUAACGACUUCCCAGCUGUCUCCACCAUGAACUCGGCGAAAUUGCACUACGAGUAAAGAUGCUCGUUACGCGCAGAAGGACGGAAAGACCCCGUGACCUUUACUACAGCUUGGUAUUGGUGUUCGGUGUGGCUUGUGUAGGAUAGGUGGGAGACUGUGAAGCAGGGACGCUAGUUCUUGUGGAGUCAUCGUUGAAAUACCACUCUGGUCAUAUUGGAUAUCUAACUACGGACCCUGAUCGGGUUCUGGGACAGUGCCUGGUGGGUAGUUUAACUGGGGCGGUUGCCUCCUAAAGAGUAACGGAGGCGCCCAAAGGUUCCCUCAACCUGGUUGGCAAUCAGGUGGCGAGUGUAAGUGCACAAGGGAGCUUGACUGUGAGACUGACAGGUCGAGCAGGGACGAAAGUCGGGACUAGUGAUCCGGCAGUGGCUUGUGGAAGCGCUGUCGCUCAACGGAUAAAAGGUACCUCGGGGAUAACAGGCUGAUCUUGCCCAAGAGUCCAUAUCGACGGCAUGGUUUGGCACCUCGAUGUCGGCUCGUCGCAUCCUGGGGCUGGAGUAGGUCCCAAGGGUUGGGCUGUUCGCCCAUUAAAGCGGUACGCGAGCUGGGUUUAGAACGUCGUGAGACAGUUCGGUCCCUAUCCUCUGCGCGCGUUGGAAAUUUGAGAGGAUCUGACCCUAGUACGAGAGGACCGGGUUGGACGGACCUCUG